AAAAACCCCCAGAACCAUGGCGUAUUGAUGACGUUCAUCUCCUUCAGUAGCACCAACGGUCGACGGCUCCCAACCCUCACCUCUCUACUUCACAAGGUCCUCCUGUUCGCUGAAUGCUAGUCCUUGAUUUCCUCCUAUUCGUCAAACUCUAUAUCCCUCUCGAUCUCUAUCCCUCCAUUGCGCAUGCACCCAAGCACCCAAGCACAACCGAUCUAUGGCUUUGGCGAGCAAAAUUCCUCUACUAGCAGCCCUAAACAAGUUUUAUUACUUAAGUGAACUCAUUUUGUUUUUGUAUAUUCAGCCGAUUACCUAGGCUUUGCUUUCUCUUCGGGGAUUUACUUAUUGAUGCUUGAUGUUGGUUGGUCUGUGAUUCUAUUUAUGUGUGUGUGUGAGUGAGUAAAGCUUGAUUCACUUUUUUUUUUUUUAACUUUCUAAGUAUUAGGCAAUGUGGGUUUUGAAUGAUUUGAAGAUUGUUAACCAAUACAAGUUUUCUGUACAUAGGGGCUAUACAUAUCUUCAUGUUUUGCUCUUUCAAUUGCCAUUCAAAGUGGGCCAGGGUCUUCAUACAGGAACUAUUCUAUGAUAGAUCGUUAUUGGAUUGCUUUCUUUGUGGCGCUUUCACUUCUUGUUGGAGCAUUUGAUGCUAGUGCUGGCUAUUUUAAUCCUAUUUACAGGUAAUCCUUCUUCCUUCUUAAUGUUGUCACUUGGUACAGUGGCGGUGCAGGCAUCUUUCUUGUUGUGGUUGGGAUGAUAUUGUGCUAGCAGUUAUAUUUCUCUCUCCUGUGCCCCAUGCUUACCAGGGUUCUUAUUGUGCAUAUAAUCGUGCCCAUAAGAUACCUCAAAACUCUGGAAUUUAAGUGGUGCAACAGUCAUGUUUUUGCAUUUGUGCUCUCUAAUGGUUUAAGCACCAAUGUUGGUUAAGUUUUGGUCGCUUUAGAUUAGGCCUAUUUAUUCAAAUAGCUGAAUGACUUGAUUCUGUAAAGACCCAUUUUAUUCACGGGAUAGAGCUUGGAAUCAGAUUCCAAAUCCCAAAGGGAAUACAUUUGGAGUGUUUGGCUGCAACAAUUGGUGGAGAGAUUCCUUAUCAGUUGGACAACCCAUCCAUGUAACGUGGUUGUUGAAUAUUGACGAUCUGUGGUAAUGGUAAUUCCAGUUUGUAUUACUCGUCCUAUACUAAUUCCAAGAUAUUGUCUAUGGGUUCACUAUUAGUUUGGUUUGUGAAAAAGGGUCCAAAAUACAUAACUUGAAAGAUUUGGUCAGUUGGACUGGUCAACAGUUACAUUAAUUUGUAAAAUUGGAAGACCUAAAGACUAACAUAUUACUUUGGAUUUCCCAGUUAUUACCUGUGAGUUGAUUUCGUAAAUAAUGAGAACUGGUUACAAAACAAUUAGUACCAGACAUUUCACUAGUAUUUUACACUUCAUACUUGCAGCCUGGACCCUACAUUUUGACUCAUUUCAGGAUUUAUCUGCUGCAGAUUGUUCUAUAGCACUACUCCUUUAUGCAGUAUGGGCCGACAAUAACACCUGAAUUUUGGCUUCUUUAAUUUUCAGUUUUUUGUCUCAGCUCUUUUCUUUGUUCUAUAGCACUACUCCCUUAUGCAGUAUGGGCCGACAAUUAACACCUGAAUUUUGGCUUAUUUAAUUUAACAGAGACCUUUUCUUUUGUUUCUUGUUUGGAAAAGUUACAAGUACCAAGAAAAAGAAAGAAAGGUUACGAUCACAUCCACUGGACACUCCAGGUUACUGAAGUUCUUAGCUCUUGUUUUGCAUGAAGAUAUUUAAGAAGGCUGCCACAAAUGCAUAUCCUGGUAAGGUAAUGAGAUGCAAUCAAAAAAUGUGCUUGUAUGCAAAUCUCUUAAUGCUUGUUGGCAACUCGUUAUAUGGGUUAGGUCAUUAUAUUGCAA